rnacentral:rRNA from 1 species
UAAUACGAAGGGGGCUAGCGUUGUUCGGAAUUACUGGGCGUAAAGCGUGCGCAGGCGGUUUUUCAAGUCAGAGGUGAAAGCCCCGGGCUCAACCCGGGAAUGGCCUUUGAGACUGGAAAGCUAGAGUGUGAGAGAGGUGAGUGGAAUUCCCAGUGUAGAGGUGAAAUUCGUAGAUAUUGGGAAGAACACCCGUGGCGAAGGCGGCUCACUGGCUCGCAACUGACGCUCAGGCACGACAGCGUGGGGAGCAAACAGGAUUAGAUACCCUGGUAGUCCACGCCGUAAACGAUGGAUGCUAGGUGCCGGCGAGCUUGCUCGUCGGUGCCGCAGCUAACGCCUUAAGCAUCCCGCCUGGGGAGUACGGCCGCAAGGUUA